UAUUUUGUGUUAUAUCAACAUAGCAGCAAAAGAUGGUUUGGUUCACAGUUCAUGUUGCAAAAUGUCCAGGCCUGAUCCCCAUGCGCUUCUUCAAUCUCGCUUGUCCCAGCCUUGGACACACCUCUCCUUCCUGCUUACUCUGCACAGCAAACACUUUUUUUGCAGUUAUUUUCUACGUCUAAGUUAAUGCUAACAGUUGGGAUGAAUUAUCUGUUCUUUUUGCUCAAAGCAGUGAAGAAGAGGAGUCAGGAUUUUGGGUUACCUGUGACUGUAAAGAUAUUUUUUUGUAAUAUGUUUUCUUUUUUCGGUUAAUUAAAUGAAAUCCAAAGUCUAAGCGUGUGUGUGUUUAGCGUCUCUGAAAACAUGCGCUUCUGGAGCGCCUGCAGUGCCAGCAAAGUCCACCGGGCGGCGCUGUGACCCACGAAACAAGAAGUGGGCGCUCGGUCUCUUCGUCCUGCAGGAAUUACUGGGCUGCGAGUAACUUAACAUCAGCUUGAAGAGCGUUUUUGCCCAAAUAUCGGCCUCAUUUUUGGAGCAAAGACAAAAGCCAAGCACCGUAUAACUUAAAAGUUUUCUAGAAAGAAUACAGAUUUGACACUGGAUCAUCGCUCUUUCAUACGUCAUUUCAUUCUGUAGAGAUUGUAUGAGCAGAGCUAAUUAUUUAGUCUUACAAAUUAAAAAGAAAAACACACUAAUCUGGUGUCCCACAUGAAUUAAAAGAUGUGCUCCGUCACACUACAUUACUUUACCAUUCACUUCGUGAGGCUUUCUCUCGUUUAAUCAAAUAGCGUAACGUGGUAGCAGCUUAACUAACGUAUGAAUUAUGAACAAUUAAAACCCUGGUUGCAGUUUAACGUAUAAAUUAUGGAAAGAUUUCUAUUCGUGAAAUUUCCUACUGUAAUGAUGACGUAAUCGUUACACUACGUUACAAAAUAUAGGCGUUUUAUCUCAAGCCGGUACGGCCUCAAGCAGCCCCAAAGCUGUUCUGUUUGACCCGGAUCGGAGAGGCGGUCGCGCGCCACAUGCGUGAGACUCUCGUCAGUUUACACUUUGCCUCAGAGGCACAGGUGCACGUCUUUGCGGGCGAAGGCCUUACGGCGAGCACCGCGUUGGAACGGGAGGCGUAGGCGAGAGCUUGUGCGUAAGGAGCGACCCGACCCAGCAGGGGGCAGCAGUGGGAUGCCGGGUGCAAGUGGGAGGUGGUCACAAGUGCUGACAAGUGCUGCUGGCAUCCAGUCGGACCGGGAGCUCCUGAAAGCCUGUUUGCUGAUGCUGAGAAGUGACCGUCCGCUGCAGGGUCACAGGGUCCUCGCUGAAGCCGCUGCAGAUACGAGAUGAUGACGUGAUUUAUAUUGCAUGUUUAUGUAUUAUAAAGCUCCGGCUUUAUUAGGGGUGACCGUUUUUCAGUCCGUUUCAUUCUGUGUGCUUUGCGUAUUGUUAAAAGUGCAAUCCGUUGAUGGGGAACUUAAGUGACAUGACUAAAUAGAUUUUUACAAGUUAACAGUAACGUUUACCAGCAAUGUGCUUUUAUAGACACCGAAAGCAAAGUAACCCAAAAAGUUUUUUUUUUUGUUUCACCAAAAUCAAC
rnacentral:lncRNA from 1 species